AGAUAGAUAUUGCUGUGUAGCUAAUGUUACAGUCAGUUCACUAACUUUAUAAGUCUCCUGCUUAUUAUGUUGUUUGUCUUGUAGCCACAGAUUAAAAACUAAUACUGCAAGCAGGUAUGA